rnacentral:rRNA from 1 species
AACGUAGGUGGCAAGCGUUAUCCGGAUUCACUGGGCGUAAAGCGCACGCAGGCGGCGCGGUUGGUAGGGCAUGAAACCUCCCGGCUUAACUGGGAGACGCUGUCCUAUACCGCCGCGCUUGAGGCUGGAAGAGGGAAGUGGAAUUGCCGGUGUAGCGGUGAAAUGCGCAGAUAUCAGGAGGAACACCGGUGGCGAAGGCGGGUCUCUGGGCCGUAACUGACGCUGAGGAGCGAAAGCAUGGGGAGCGAACAGG